AUCGUGGUUGCUGGACUGUUGAACAGAAGUCGAACAGAAGGACGGUUCGAUCCCUCCUGUCCUGUGUUUAACAUCGAUGCGUGGGGUCCACAUACCAUAAAAAAUAUUCUCUCUCCCCUCCGUUCCUCUUCCUCCGCGCGAGCAGAGGAAAAGUCCCAGCGCCGUCUCCAUCUCUCGUUCCCCGUCCUUUCUACUCUUCUUCCCCAACUCUAUCACUCCAGCCAUGGAUCAAAGAAUCCAUGGAGGAGAGCAAAUCAGAGCACAUUGAGGGCCUGCUAGAGCAGAAUAGCAGAUGAUGCUCCUCAGGGACAAGCGCCUCACGUUCUCCGUUUCCCAUCCUUCUUCCUCCCUAUUGCUCCUCAACAAUUUGGCCAUGAAUCUACAAAAUUAGUCUUAGAUGUGAGCAGAUUGGAUCAUUGGAAGGCCAGUUUGGUUUCUUUGCCCACAUAAGCUAGCUGAGCAAGGAUUGCCUAACCUUGCCCGGCAAAGCUAGGCAAGCAAAGAGCCAUGCGUUUGGUUUCACAAUCAGUCAGCCAUGCAGGAGCCCCAUGCGCUGUACGCAGCUUUUUUUGUGCCAGGCGCUCGCCUUGCCGGUGCGGGAGAGCGAAAUUGGCUCGCCUGGCUCAGCAAGGAAAUCCUUGCUCAAGCAAAGCUAGCUUGCCAAGCAAAGCUAGAUUUUAAAGCUAGUACCAAACAUAUAUCCUUGCCUGGCAAGGUGAGGCUAAGCAAGGCAAGGGUGGAAUUGUUGCUGCAGAGGACAAGGCGGAUCCGGACGGAGAUGGAGCGGCGGCGGUUGCUUGCCAUGGCGUCGCCGGCCUCGGCGGCGGCGGAUCUGUAUUCCGUGCAGCUCUACUCCUAGCCGUCGCCCCCGUCGCCGUUUCCAUCCAAAGCUCAUCGUCACCGCCUUCUUCGCUCGGUGGCCGGAAUUGAUUUUAGAGCAACACCGGAGCUGCCCUUACAAUUGCAGUUUUGGCUGCAGUAACAGACUUGACGGCCACCCAAUCAGCGCCCUUCGAAUAUCUAUCUGGCAUGUUUAGUUCACUCCAAAAUUCUAACUUUGUCACUGUGUAAAAAGAAGAUUCCUCAUCACAUCAAACUUGCGGUACAUGCAUAGAGUACUGAAUGUAGACGAAAUCAAAAACUAAUUGCACAGUUUUGUUGUACUUUGCGAAACGAAUCUUUUGAGCCUAAUUAGUCAAUAUUUGGAUAAUAAUUCACAAAUACAAACGAAACGCUACAGUGUUGCUACAGUAUUUUUGACACCUCAAAGUUGGGUAACUAAACACCUAGUCUUGCCUCGUGUCAUGCUGCACGGAGUUACAGCAAAACCAACUAAUCCCAGAGAUUAGAACAGAAACCUAUAGAGUCUCUGUCAGAGUGUGCAUGGCGUCCGGGACACCCACACAACGGCGCUCGGCGUGUUACUCAAGAGACGGGAAAAAAGAAACACGAGGGGCCCGGCGAUAAGAUGAGCCGGCCGGUUGCUAUCAGCAUGGCAUCCAACGCUGCUAAUCGCCACACGGCGACCGUGACACCUGCUGCAUUUUCUUCUUCUUCCGAGUUCCAACCAUGCGGCUACAACUAUUGACUAGCAUAAGAAAUGCACACGCAUCGAUCGACUGAUGACGAUGCACGCCGCGUCACUGUUUUGAUGACAACAGCGGUUAGUAGUAGUAUAUGGUUUGGCAGGAUUGACUAAUUCAUUGUUAGAUCAGUAUAUUCAGGAUCGUCAUGCAUCCACUAGCUCGUUAAAAUUGCUGUGAAAAACUGAAUAUAUAUAAUGCUUAUUCGAGAGGCGAAAAUCGUAAAGUGAAGAUGACUGGACAGGCUAAAGCGACGCGGUUGAACCUGGAGGUGUCAGGGUGUAGUGGAGAGAACAACAGCUGAUCCUUUAGCGCAGUCAGCAUUUGGUAGCUUUGGCCUUUAUUAGGUGAUGGAUAACCCAAUGCAAUCUGUAAAAGGCCCCCCCUGUUUCACGAUCCUGGAAGCUAAGACAUUUUCUCCUCCUUUCAAUUCCACAGUUUUAUUGAUAUGGCGAUCAUAUAUAGCCUGGAAAGCAUGGAGCUGAGGCCUCAGCAGCUACCGUUAGCCCAUGCAUCAGGGUACUUAACGAGAUUUGGGUCCUUGUAGGAUCGGAAUUUACAGACUUGCAUAUGAAUUUAUGAUCUCUGUGUUAGCUAGUUCAGUGGAACGGGCUGACCACAAACCACCAAAGGAAAAAAAAGAAAAAGGUUGCAUCACGAAGAUAUAAACUACAAAGUCUGUCUCUUUCCUCCGUGACAUUUCAAGCAGAUUGCGAUCUAAUCUGUUUACCCCAUCGAGAGCAACAUAGUUUCUUCUUCUUCUUCUUCUUCUUCUUCUUGAAAGAGAGAAAAAAAAAAGAGGGUGGAGCCAAGUCCUGCUUUGCAGGUCAUCCAAGUCCACGCAACUGUUUCAUAUACUGGACAGUGCUGUUACCUACAGAUGGUGGCCCAUCCGUGUGCGUAGUAUUCAGACGAAUUGCCGUAUGGUUGCAUCUGAACUGAAAACGAUGUCAGUAGUUGAGCAUGCAAAAGAAAGCACUCUUUCUCUUCUGAAUCCAAAACAUUUGCAGCGCUGCAGGUUUCCUUCAAGGAACCAUACGCGUAAAGCAUGUACUGAUAUACCGCAACGGGCAACGGGCAACAGCCGUGCUGUGAUUCCUCGUAGCGCUAGUUGCUGCAGGCUGCUACGGCUAGUGCAAAACCUACGUGCUCCACUCCCAAGUCCCAAGUUCAGAGAGCGAUGCAGUACAGAAUCGGAGGAGACAAGCAGUGGAGGACCGCGCUCUGCAGGCGCACGGUCGUCACCUUGGACCUUGGCCUGGCGCUGAAAGGAAAGGAGUACGUACCGUGACCAAUUGACGAGGAGGGGAAGGGAACACCCAGAAAGAUUCUUUUCUCGAAGGCGUCACUUCACCUUGUCGAUCUGUUUCGUUUCACCUAGCAGUAAACCAGUAAAAGAAGAUCCCGACUGCCAGUAAAACUGAUCACUGUUCCCCAAUCCCCAUCGGCAUCCUCCGAUCCAGCUGCCAGCCGAGCCAGAAAUGGGCCAUGGAUCCAUCCAUACUCCCCAGUAGGUAUGCUACGUGUACGUACACAAGUAGUAGAUGGGAAGGAAGGUCCAAUCCAAACCCAACCACUCUUCUCCGUAUGGAGUCCGGUGGCAUGGUAGAUGCAUCGUCCAUCAAUUAUUGGAUUGGUUUGGCAAAAACCCUCCUCUCUUUCUUCCCCAACCCAACAGACGCAUCAGGACGGACGACCUACGGCAGGGACCAGGCAGCCAUUAUGCUCGAUUAAAGCGGCUAUGCUUCUGUUCGGGCAGGAAAACAAGCCUAGGACAGUCGCAGCGUCAGAUGAGAUCUCUGGAAUCCUGCUGCCUCUUUUCUUCCGUUGCAAAGGUUUUAUAUGAAACUGGAUUAUACGCGAGUGCUUUGCUUUUGAGAGAGUUUUGUGGUCAGAUACAAUCUUUCUUGAUGCGUCGUCGUUCAUCAAACACAUUGACAGUUCUUUACCGUACGGAAAGGCUCAGUUCGAUAACAUGAUGAUUCAUUCAUAGAGCAGAGCUUUCCGAACGCCAUGGAAUGGAUUGAACUGAGGAGGACACAAGAUGUUUAUUCCUUUUGACAGUGGGGAAACAAAAGGGAAGCAACAAUCCUUGGAAAACUUGUCAUCAUCCCUUCCCUUCCAUCCCGCUGCUACGAAAACAUCUCGCCCAUCGCCGCAUGAUCAUAAGAGUUUUACUACUAAUAAUACAAAAAAAUCAAAGAUCCAAAUAAUAUCAAAACCCCCGUGCUUCCUCCUCCUCGCAAAGAAAGAGAAACAGCAAAAAUUCCCCACCCCCCUCUCUCUACACAGACACGCACGCACCCUUAUUUUCUCUUCGUUCUCUUUUUUGUUUUAUUUUUCUUCUUGUCUUUUUAUGUUACAGCCGCCGCCGGUUCCUUCUCUAGCUGCCUUGUUUUGGUCACUAGAUAGAAGAAAAGAUCUGCCGCCCGUCAGGCGGCGACGAUGCCGGUGGUGAAGAAGAUCUGCCCGCCGCCGCCGCUGCACGGCGACCCGGCCAUGUCGGCGGCCGCCUUCCUCGGCAGACCGUCGGCGGCGGCCGGGGACACG
rnacentral:lncRNA from 1 species